rnacentral:rRNA from 1 species
UACGUAGGUGGCAAGCGUUAUCCGGAAUUAUUGGGCGUAAAGAGCUCGUAGGCGGUUUGUCGCGUCUGCCGUGAAAGUCCGGGGCUCAACUCCGGAUCUGCGGUGGGUACGGGCAGACUAGAGUGAUGUAGGGGAGACUGGAAUUCCUGGUGUAGCGGUGAAAUGCGCAGAUAUCAGGAGGAACACCGGUGGCGAAGGCGGUUCUCUGGGCAUUACCUGACGCUGAGGAGCGAAAGUGUGGGGAGCGAACAGG